AAACCGGCUCUUUUUAGAGCCACUAGGUUGUCUAAGGAGGCGGUCU
rfam:Trichobilharzia regenti genome assembly, scaffold: TRE_scaffold0086129